CCUACGGGAGGCUGCAGUGGGGAAUAUUGCACAAUGGGGGAAACCCUGAUGCAGCGACGCCGCGUGAGUGAAGAAGUAUUUCGGUAUGUAAAGCUCUAUCAGCAGGGAAGAAAAUGACGGUACCUGUCUAAGAAGCCCCGGCUAACUACGUGCCAGCAGCCGCGGUCAUACGUAGGGGGCAAGCGUUAUUCGGAUUUACUGGGGGUAAAGGGAGCGUAGUCGGUUCGGCAAGUCUGAAGUGAAAGGCAGGGGCUUAACCCCUGAACUGCUUUGGAAACUGGCAUGCUAGAGUGCUGGAGAGGGAAGUGGAAUUCCUGGUGUAGCGGUGAAAUGCGUAGAUAUUAGGAGGAACACCGGUGGCGAAGGCGGCUUACUGGACAGUAACUGACGUUGAGGCUCGAAAGCGUGGGGAGCAAACAGGAUUAGAUACCCGGGUAGUC
rnacentral:rRNA from 1 species